rnacentral:rRNA from 1 species
CUACGGGGUGCUGCAGUGAGGAAUAUUGCACAAUGGGGGGAACCCUGAUGCAGCAACGCCGCGUGGAGGAUGACGCAUUUCGGUGUGUAAACUCCUUUUAUAUGUCAAGAAAAUGACGGUAGCAUAUGAAUAAGCACCGGCUAACUCCGUGCCAGCAGCCGCGGUAAUACGGAGGGUGCAAGCGUUACUCGGAAUCACUGGGUGUAAAGGACGCGUAGGCGGGUUGGAAAGUCAGGUGUGAAAUCCUACAGCUUAACUGGAGAACUGCACUUGAAACUUCUAAUCUAGAGUAUGGGAGGGGGAGAUGGAAUUAGUGGUGUAGGGGUAAAAUCCGUAGAUAUCACUAGGAAUACCUAAAGCGAAGGCGAUCUCCUGGAACAUUACUGACGCUAAGGCGUGAAAGCGUGGGGAGCAAACAGGAUUAGAUACCCUUGUAGUC